AGGAGAGCUGCCCAGAGGAGGAGAGAUCUUGCCCAGGCUUGUCAGGGUCUGAGAUGUGAUCUUCUGCCUUCUGCUUAGAAUUGUGGCUCAGUGGACGGCGAAGAUCCGUGGCAUCAUCGUAUGGAUAAAGUGGUCGUUCAUGGCCAAUAUCGUUCUGCGGGAGAAGCAGGAUCUCCUAACUGCCUCAACACUCACUCAUUCUUUGACGUGAGAACUUGAUGGAAUUCUCUCUACAUAAUGCUGAAGAGAUUCCUAGAACAAUACCCUGCAAUUCAAUCAGCCAGCUUGGCUCAACGGCUGAGAAAGCAUCUGGAGAGGGAUGGGAAGAGAUAGAUAGAUAGGUACUUUGUUGAUCCUGAGGGAAAUUUAAGAUCCAGUAGCUUAUACAACACACACAAGAAUAUAAGAAUAAAGACAAGAGUAUAAGAAUAAAAAAACAGAGCAGUAAAGUGAUAGUCUAGCCACCAGAACAAUUACAGAGAACUAUCACUAUAAUAGAAUAUGUACUAAUGGAGGUAAUGCAAAUGUUAGGUGAUUAACAGUACAGGUGUUGCAAAUGUAAGGUGAUCAAAAAGUAAAAAUAGUGCAAGAAUAAUGAUGACUGUGGAUAAUCUAAAAUUCAAAUUGAAGAUAAAUAUAUAAACAAAUGCAAAUUGUGCAUAAGCUAAGAGAGAACAGUGAAUUGUUAUAAUAUUAUGUAGGGAAUUUAAAGAUGAACAGGUAAACUCCCUUUUCAAAUAGCAAAAAAAGGCAACAUUAUUAGUCAAUAUUUUGAACUCAG